GGUUGCGAUCAUACCAGCACUAAUGCACCGGAUCCCAUCAGAACUCCGCUGUUAAGCGUGCUUGGGCGAGAGUAGUACUAGGAUGGGUGACCCCCUGGGAAGUCCUCGUGUUGCAACCCC
rnacentral:rRNA from 1 species